GGCAGAGGUCUUCCAGAAGUCAAGUCUAAUCUAUCUAUGGAUGUGGCAGACUUAGCUAUGGAUGUUCAAGGCAGACAUUGCCAGCAGAACCACAUCUCUUCACCCAUAGGACCACACCCUUCUCAGACUGGGAUGCACAGCUCCACUAGUUUGCAGAGAGGAUGCACAACAGCAGAAUAUCCGUGGUCCAACUUCUGAAGCAUCAGUAUUACCACAAGAUUUGGAAGAAGCAAAGUUAUGUCAUUUCCAAGGUUCAUCUUGGCUGAAAUCAUCCCACGUGUAUUGUUUUCUGUCUAGCUUGCCUCCCUCGGCACCAGGUGGAAGAGACUCA